rnacentral:rRNA from 1 species
UACGGGGGGAGCAAGCGUUGUUCGGGUUUACUGGGCGUAAAGGGCGCGUAGGCGGCCAGCACAAGUCAGUUGUGAAAUCUCCGAGCUUAACUCGGAACGGUCAACUGAUACUGUGCGGCUAGAGUGCGGAAGGGGCAACUGGAAUUCUUGGUGUAGCGGUGAAAUGCGUAGAUAUCAAGAGGAACACCUGCGGCGAAGGCGGGUUGCUGGGCCGACACUGACGCUGAGGCGCGAAAGCUAGGGGAGCGAACGGG